rnacentral:rRNA from 1 species
UUAUUAGAUAAAAAACCAAUGCUGGCUCUGCCAGGUUUUGUGGUGAAUCAUAGUAACUUUUCGGAUCGCAUGGCCUCACGCCGGCGAUAGUUCAUUCAAAUUUCUGCCCUACCAGCUUUCGACGGUAGUGUAGUGGACUACCGUGGCGUUAACGGGUAACGGAGAAUAGGGUUCGAUUCCGGAGAGGGAGCCUGAGAAACGGCUACCACAUCCAAGGAAGGCAGCAGGCACGCAAAUUACCCACUCCCGGCACGGGGAGGUAGUGACGAAAAAUAACAAGCUGGUCUCAAUGAGUUCCAGCAUUGUAAUGGGAACAAUUUAAAUCUUUUAUCGAGGAUCUAUUGGAGGGCAAGUCUGGUGCCAGCAGCCGCGGUAAUUCCAGCUCCAAUAGCGUAUAUUAAAGUUGUUGCGGUUAAAAAGCUCGUAGUUGGAUCUAGGAUUAGGGCUACGGUCGUUCAGCUUGGACGUACUGUAUGCCCGACUCCUUUUCUCUAGUAUUCGAUUGUUGCUCUUAAAUGAGUGACUUUAGUUGCUGGAACUUUUACCUUGAAAAAAUUGAAGUGCUCAAAGCAGGUU